CUCCCUCCUCUCCCACUCCAACCUCACAGCGCGGUGGCGGUUGUGCAGGAACCGGGUGCCGGAGGCUGGCAGGCAGGGAAAGGAAGGGGAAAGCGGUCUGCAGCGUCGCGGAGCGGAGCAUGGGGCGAAGCAGUUGCCCACCGCCCCGUUCCUAGGGAGGCCGGGGACCCUGUGGAGGGCAGCGGGGAAGAGAGGAAGGGCCGUGGAGCCGCUGAGGAGGUGCGAGAGAUGGAUGCGAGGCGAUAGCACCGCGGCCUCCGACGCUGCCGCAUCGGGAUGCUCUCAGCCCCGGAGCGGAGCUGAGGAGCCGCCGAGGGACGGGAGAAGAUGACGGAGGGCCGCAGAUGCCAAGUGCACCUCCUCGAUGACAGGAAGCUGGAGCUCCUCGUCCAGGUAGGAACUGCAUGUUUCCCCAUCCGAGGAUUUUCUCCAAAUAGUCCUGGAGAAAAAGGGAGAGGGAAAGGUUUUCACUUGAUUUUCUCAGCAACGUCACGCUGAGAUUGCGUGCAGAGCUGUAUUUGUACCAGGGAUAAUAUGCUUGUGGGAAGGGCUUUGUGCUAAUUCAUGACGUGUUUUGUUUUAGUUUGUGCCAAAACAGUCCCAGUCCCCAGUGGUAGGACAGAAAAGCAGGUCGGGUCAUUUUUUAUGCUGUUAUUAUAUCACUUGAUGGAGAAAUAUAUUACAUCUUCUUACAAUACCCCCAGCCUGGGUUUCCAUCCCGUUACUUGCCACUAAACUUGGUGUAUGAUGCUCAGGAUGCAGUGCUGGUGCCAUGGGCAGACAUCACUGGAGAUACUUCAGGGGCUAAAAAUCAAACACAAAUAUGCACUGAAAUACAUUUGUGAAAUAUCCUCCUACUUAAAAAAGUAACGAUAAUAGAGAACGAAGGAGAAUGAGAUUCUGGUGUUGGCCACGGGCUCGUGAAUGUUGCCAUAUCCUGAGCCUUCCUGACAAUUUUGGCUCACUCCUCAGGGGUCACCAACAGGUUAACAGCAAGAAUGAGAAGAAUGCCUUUCCUUUUUGCAAAUGCUGCUGGGCAGCCCCAGAAGCAGGAAAUGAAACUUCCCAUGGCUGCAGAACCACGAUGCAGCUGAUAGCUGGGGGAGCAGGAUCCCGCUUGGGGAAGUCUGAACAGGGAUAGCUGGAGGUGCCAUGAAUCGCCGGAAGCGUGUUCAGCCCCACUGCUGGAAAGUUGCUUAAAAAUAUCAUUAACAAAAUGCUU
rnacentral:lncRNA from 7 species